UACGUAGGGGGCAAGCGUUGUCCGGAUUUACUGGGCGUAAAGAGCGCGCAGGCGGUCGUGCAAGUCGGGUGUGAAAGCCCCCGGCUCAACUGGGGAGGGUCACGCGAUACUGCUCGACUUGAAGGCAGGAGAGGGAAGUGGAAUUCCCGGUGUAGUGGUGAAAUGCGCAGAUAUCAGGAAGAACACCAAUGGCGAAGGCAGCUCUCUGGGACGGUACUGACGCUGAGACGCGAAAGCGUGGGGAGCGAACAGG
rnacentral:rRNA from 1 species